rnacentral:lncRNA from 1 species
GGGAAAGGCAACAAAAUAAAUGAGACUAAUAGAUUAUAACCUACUGAUUACAAUAAGUAUUCAUGAGUCCACAUUGAUAGAAAGACAUACUGUUUUCAUGUGGACCUUUAUUUUCUACAAUAUCCUCAUCUAUAAUAACGGAAUUAGUAAUGUUUAUCUUGCAAUAUUGUUGUGAGGAUUCAUUUGGGAGAGGGUUUGAAAGAACUAUUUAAAACACAUAAAAAGUGCCUAGAAAUGUUAAUUGACUUCCCUGCCUUGUUCUCUUAGUACACAGUCAUUUUCCUGGAAAACCAGACUAUCACAAUUUUGAAGCUGAAUCCCUGGUAGAGUUUUGAUUUAGUUUUAGAAAUAUGGUGUUAAUCACUUUUUAGCAGCCUCCUUCAAAAUGAAACCUUCUACCCAUUGACUUGUCAGUAGUAUUUAACCUAGAAUAGUCAUUAGGAAUUCAUCAUCAUUUCCCUAUGCAUUCUGCCUUCAGCUUCUUCCCUCCAGGUAAAUUGCAGACGUGAUGCUCAGAAUUAAACUGUCAGGAUGCUGCCAUUCUGCUGCAUGCUCCGGACAGCUGGCCGUUAGGGAGCACUGCAGGCUUGGAAGAGGUGACUUGUCUCCCUGUGUACAGCCCUCUGGGUAGAGCAGCUGUCAUCUAAAUACAGAUGCUGAUCUCCAAAAGAAGUUCCAGUUUGGUUACAGAGAGUUACAGCAUAGUGAAACUUCAAGAACUAGGUUUUUCUGGACCAUCCCAGUGCGCAUGAAUCAGGAGGCAGAUUACAGAAAUCAUUAAGUCCAGUGACAAUGAAAAACAAUCAAUUCCAGUCUCAUGCACAUCAUGGAUGAAUUCCCCAGACAUAAUGCUGAGCAAGAAGAAGGAGAUGCAAAAGACACAGCUGGAUCCAUGUUGACAGAAUCGCUGGAAGAUUGAGGAGUGCGAAGAAGUUUAAAACUGUUUCUGUAUCCUUUCUCAUUGUUAUAUCUUCCAUGGAUAUUCCAUCCCUUAUUAUAUCCUAAGUCUUGACAUAAAUACUUAGAUAUCUGCUUCCUUUUUGUUGUUGUUGUUGUGGUUGUUUGAGAUGGGGUCUCACUCUUUUGCCCAGGGUGAAGUGCAGUGGUGCAAUCUCACUGAGCCUCAACCUCCUGAUCUCAAGUGUUCUCCCACCUUAGCCUCCCAAGUAGCUGGGACUACAGAUGGAUGCCACCAUACCCAGCUAAUUUUUGUAUAUUUUAUAGAGACAGGAUUUUGCCAUGUUGCCCAGGCUGGUCUCGAACUUCUGGGCUCAAGAGAGUCACCCGCCUUGGCCUUCCAAAGUGCUGAGAUUACAAGUGUGAGCCACCAUGUCCAGCCUUCUGCUUCCUUUUGAAGCAAGGUUUUUAAGCUACCCCUUGAAAACUUUUCUCCAACCUUAUCACUAUUUAUGUUUGACCUAUUGCUAAUGGAAAUAUUUCACCCAAUGUCCAGGAAAAAUGUACACUUUACUCACCUUACUCACAUAAUAACUCAAAUUAUGAAAAUAUCUACAGUCCUAAGUGUAUCAACACUAGAAAUAAUUGCAACUAGGUCAUUGGAACUUGAAAUAGAUAAGCAUUACUAUUAGCAGAAGCCCAGAGAGCGGAGGCCAAGAGUUAGGUUUUCAUACAAACUAAAGGCUUCUAAAAGCUUAACACAGGAAAGUGUUGAUCAACUCUUUGCAUCCAGUGACAUAGGUAAGUUUUAUUCAUCUAGGAAGUGAACACUGAAGCUGUGAAGGAAGAAAUUCCCUCUGUAUAGACAACUUUCUCAUCACCACUAAGCGAUAAAGCUGUUGAUAAAAGUCAAUGCUGUGUGUUCACAUUAUCUCUUUCUACAACCUUAAGCCCUUCUCAGCAUAUCAUCAAGAGCAGGAAAAUGAAAACCUGAAAACAACUUGAAGAAAACGGAAGCACCUCAUUUCUCAUUAUGGAGUUUAAUCAACUGAAAAGUUUUCCCUGAGUUUGGUACAUACUCAUUUGGCAGCAAAACCUGAGCUGAUAUAAGGCUGUUUAAAGACUUUAUUUAUCCGACUUAGUAUGAAUAUUCAUUCCUUUCUCUGCAGAAGUGACAAUGUGGUGAUUACAGGGCACAGACCUGUUGGUGAUG